GAAAGAAUUUGGAGGCCGUCCUCUCCCCUGCCCCCGCCCAGAAAGAGGCCUGCACAUGUCAUAUUUUUCCUCCAGUGAGCCAUACAAAUCCCGUCAUUUUUUUCUGUAUGCCGUGACAAGAGGAGCAUGGGGAAGCCUGCAGCAAGGUCUCCAAAGGGAGGAAUACAUCUACCAGUAAACACAGCAUGAUUCCACUGACUUGGAAGUUAAGACUACUAGCUGAUCACUUUGGGCUCCUCAUGCCUCUGAAUCAACAGGCAAAGAAGGAAGCUACUCUACUGGCAAAGGAAUGUAUCCACAGCAUAUGAGGGUUCCCAG